rnacentral:rRNA from 1 species
UGAAACCAGAUAUGACUUAGUGGCGGACGGGUGAGUAACACGUGAGCAACCUGCCUUUCAGAGGGGGAUAACGGCUGGAAACGGUCGCUAAUACCGCAUGACGUGUUCGGAUGGCAUCAUCUGAACAUCAAAGAUUUAUCGCUGAAAGAUGGACCCGCGUCUGAUUAGCUAGUUGGUGAGGUAACGGCCCACCAAGGCAACGAUCGGUAGCCGACCUGAGAGGGUGAUCGGCCACACUGGAACUGAGACACGGUCCAGACUCC